AGGUUGGGUAACACUAACUGGAGGACCGAACCGACUAAUGUUGAAAAAUUAGCGGAUGACUUGUGGCUGGGGGUGAAAGGCCAAUCAAACCGGGAGAUAGCUGGUUCUCCCCGAAAGCUAUUUAGGUAGCGCCUCGUGAAUUCAUCUCCGGGGGUAGAGCACUGUUUCGGCAAGGGGGUCAUCCCGACUUACCAACCCGAUGCAAACUGCGAAUACCGGAGAAUGUUAUCACGGGAGACACACGGCGGGUGCUAACGUCCGUCGUGAAGAGGGAAACAACCCAGACCGCCAGCUAAGGUCCCAAAGUCAUGGUUAAGUGGGAAACGAUGUGGGAAGGCCCAGACAGCCAGGAUGUUGGCUUAGAAGCAGCCAUCAUUUAAAGAAAGCGUAAUAGCUCACUGGUCGAGUCGGCCUGCGCGGAAGAUGUAACGGGGCUAAACCAUGCACCGAAGCUGCGGCAGCGACACUAUGUGUUGUUGGGUAGGGGAGCGUUCUGUAAGCCUGUGAAGGUGUGCUGUGAGGCAUGCUGGAGGUAUCAGAAGUGCGAAUGCUGACAUAAGUAACGAUAAAGCGGGUGAAAAGCCCGCUCGCCGGAAGACCAAGGGUUCCUGUCCAACGUUAAUCGGGGCAGGGUGAGUCGACCCCUAAGGCGAGGCCGAAAGGCGUAGUCGAUGGGAAACAGGUUAAUAUUCCUGUACUUGGUGUUACUGCGAAGGGGGGACGGAGAAGGCUAUGUUGGCCGGGCGACGGUUGUCCCGGUUUAAGCGUGUAGGCUGGUUUUCCAGGCAAAUCCGGAAAAUCAAGGCUGAGGCGUGAUGACGAGGCACUACGGUGCUGAAGCAACAAAUGCCCUGCUUCCAGGAAAAGCCUCUAAGCAUCAGGUAACAUCAAAUCGUACCCCAAACCGACACAGGUGGUCAGGUAGAGAAUACCAAGGCGCUUGAGAGAACUCGGGUGAAGGAACUAGGCAAAAUGGUGCCGUAACUUCGGGAGAA
rnacentral:rRNA from 1 species